rnacentral:lncRNA from 12 species
AGCACCCCGGGGACAAGGACAAAAUGAAGGAAAAGCAUGAAGAGAACAAAGUGCUGCUGGCUGUGGGGUGGGCGGGUUGAAGGGGAGCAGAGCCCGUGCCCCCUCCCCUGCUGCUGCCCCUUCUCCUUGCCUGCACCACCUCCUGCCCCCUUCAGCUGCCAGAGUGGCUGUCACCUCCAUCCUCUCGCUGCCCCGGGUGUCUGCCUGCCUGCCAGCAGAGCCCCCAGGCUGACCCCAAAGGCAGCCUGUGCCCCGGAGGGGAGCAGGGGAGGCAGAUAUCACCCCUCAGUCACCGCUGCCCAGCCUGCUCCGGGGGCAGCACAGCACUGCACAGCUGGCCCUGAUCCUCUUGCAGUGCCAUCACCUACCCUGAAAUUAGCAACAGCACGUCCAAGGAGAAUGACUGCUGAGAUUACAAUGGCAAACAAAGGAAUAUGAGGAACAAUAAUCUGCACCCCAAAGCCGUGUUUCUCUCACUGCUGCUGAUAGCACUGGCUCUU